UGGGGAAUAUUGCACAAUGGGCGAAAGCCUGAUGCAGCAACGCCGCGUGAGUGAUGAAGGCCUUCGGGUUGUAAAGCUCUGUCUUUUGGGACGAUAAUGACGGUACCAAAGGAGGAAGCCACGGCUAACUACGUGCCAGCAGCCGCGGUAAUACGUAGGUGGCAAGCGUUGUCCGGAUUUACUGGGCGUAAAGGAUGCGUAGGCGGAUUUUUAAGUGAGAUGUGAAAUACCCGGGCUUAACUUGGGUGCUGCAUUUCAAACUGGGAAUCUAGAGUGCGGGAGAGGAGAAUGGAAUUCCUAGUGUAGCGGUGAAAUGCGUAGAGAUUAGGAAGAACACCAGUGGCGAAGGCGAUUCUCUGGACCGUAACUGACGCUGAGGCAUGAAAGCGUGGGUAGCAAACAGGAUUAGAUACCCUGGUAGUCCACGCCGUAAACGAUGAGUACUAGGUGUAGGAGGUAUCGACCCCUUCUGUGCCGCAGUUAACACAAUAAGUACUCCGCCUGGGAAGUACGAUCGCAAGAUUAAAAGCUUAAAUGAAUUGACGGGGGUCAUAGCUGUUU
rnacentral:rRNA from 1 species